UUCUUUGGCCUUUUGGGCGGCCGUCUCUCGCUUCUUCCUCUUUCUUUCUUCGCUUUUUCUCUUCGGAAGGGGCGGUCUCUCCCGAUUCUUCGCUGCUCGCGGCUGCUGCCCCCGUUCGUGCAGCCGGUUUUGCCGCGCGCUGCUGCUUCCGCCGUUCUUUUCCUUCCAUUCGCUGGUGGCCGCUGCAGGUUGUGCUUGUGGGAUCUCUCCGUCUGUUGUCCUCGGCUUCGUCUGGCCGUGCCUCCCCCGUUGUUGGUUGUUGUUCAUAAUAUUUAUUCGACAAUUUCAUGAUUGGAUUGUUUCCCUAUUUCUAUUGGUGGUUUGCAUUUCACUUGCAGUCUUUUAAAUCAUAUAACUUGCAGUUUUUGCCUGCUUUAUUGUACCCAAUACAUAUAGCCUACGAUAAGUGAGAUGGCAUGCAUACCGGACAAAGACGUAGUUGACAGGUUCUUCCAUGAUGCAAAGAAAAUUGCUGGAUUCCACAAAAGUUGUUAAUGCCUCAAGUGGAUGACAGUUCACUGCAAAUUGACGAUGGUAAUACAAAUAACAUGACAAGGUCUCUCUGUUUGAACUGUGCUAUUCACUUAUUCAGUUAUGCAAAACCUGCAAUUAAGGAAUUUGGAUAAGCAGCAAGGACUAAACGACGAUAACACCAUACCGUUUGGAGUUUGGGCAGCUGAAUAAUCCACUUAUUGUAUCAUGCGCAUACGCUUCGCUGGGACGCAGUCCAUCGGGUCCGCCCCUGCUGCGU